AGUGGCACAGUGGUUAAGUGCUUGGCUGCUAACCAAAAGGCCGGUGGUUUGAAUCCACCAGACACUC
rnacentral:tRNA from 1 species